GAUGAACGCUGGCGGCGGGCCUAACACAUGCAAGUCGAACGGAAAGAGGAAGCAGUUGGCUGCUUCGCGGUCGAGGGGCGGGCGGGUGAGACAUGUGUAGGAAGCUCCUAGAUGAAGGGGAAAAACUAGUGAAAACGGUAGUUAUAACCGAAAAUUUUCUGAAGAGCAAAGAGGGGUAGCGACAGGCGGCUUUGCAGCGGAUGAUCCCCGGUGGGACUCGCCUGUUGGUGGGGGGACGGCUAACCGAGGAGACGGGCCCUACGCGGUCUGAGAGGUUGACCGGCCACACUGGAACUGAGACACGGUCCAGACUCCUACGGGAGGCAGCAGUGGGGAAUAUUGCGCAAUGGGCGAAAGCCUGACGCAGCCAUGCCGCGUGUAUGAUGAAGGCCUUCGGGUCGUAAAGUACUUUCAGCGGGGAGGAAGAGAGUUAUGUUAAUACCUGUGCUCAUUGACGUUACCCGCUGAAGAAGCACCGGCUAACUCCGUG
rnacentral:rRNA from 1 species